UACGUAGGCAGCGAGCGUUGUUCGGAGUUACUGGGCGUAAAGGGUGUGUAGGCGGUUGGUUAAGUUUGGGGUGAAAUCUCCCGGCUCAACUGGGAGGGUGCGCCGAAUACUGAAUGACUAGAGUGCGGGAGAGGUGAGUGGAAUUCCUGGUGUAGCGGUGAAAUGCGUAGAUAUCAGGAGGAACAUCGGUGGUGUAGACGGCUCACUGGACCGUAACUGACGCUGAGGCACGAAAGCGUGGGUAGCAAACAGG
rnacentral:rRNA from 1 species